CGUGUCACGUCUCCCCACCCCUGCCUCCUGAGGACUGUCAGAAGCCAUCCUGCCUUCUUCACCCAGACUCCAGAGCUACGCAGGGCGCUGACUGCCGCUCCCUUGAAGCAUUCCCUGGCCUUGUUCGUGCGCCUCUUCCCUCCUUUCUGGGCUUCAGAUUCUCUCGAGGUGGGCUCCUCUAACCUUCAGAGCAAGACAGAGCUCCGGGCUCCAGCUGAGCUCCCUGAAGGCAGGCCUCCUUUGGUGCUGUGGGGAAAUCUGGGGAGGCUCAAGUCUAAACCCCAUAAGCCUCAGCCAGGCGUCCACCAACCAUGAGGGCCCCGGCUCUCCCACUGACAGAGCUCAAGACUCAGUCGGCUUCAGAAGCCCUACUCAACAUCGGCAGCCAAGCAUGGUCUGGAAGCGGAUGGUCCUCGUCCUGACCCGUGGCCAGGUCACUGGCAGCCCAGCGCGCCACCGUCCCUAGGUCAUUCCCCUCCCUUGGUGUCCUCUCCGAGGCGUGUUAUCAUCUCCCAUUAUCGCAGGAAGAAGGACUUGCCUUACGGCCAAUCAGUUUUGCGGCAAAGACGCUUCCAGCGAAGAUGCUCCCGGCGAAAUACCAGGCGUGCCAAGAAGUGCUGCCUUUGGGAGGCCGGAACGCACCACCACUUGGCUUGGCUUUCAUCUUGCCCAGCUGCUUACCAAAGUCUUCCUCUUUCAUCUUCGAGGGCUUUAAUUGGCAGGUGGCAAGCCAAUCCAGAGGGUGCUUAUCUGAGAGUGAAGACUUCCCACAUGAUUUCUGAUCUUUGUUACAGUUUGAUGAUAACUACAUCAGCAUUUCUACUUUCCGUGGGUUUUUAUAAAAGAGGUGAGAAAAGCAGCUCUGUCUGGCAGCUGUAGAGCUCCACAUGUGGUGUACUGUCCAUCCCCGACUCCUUUCUGCUCCCACUGUUCUGGUUGUCUGUCGUCGAGUAGCGAACUACGCCGUCAGUGAUGGUAGAAGACGUGUAUACGUUUUAUUUGGGUCUAGGGUUGCCAGAUAAACCGUGAUGAAUAUUUCACCUGUAUAUAGCUUAUCUUUAAAUGUUAAAAACUUAAAAUUUAUCUUCAAAUACUAUACCUGUACAAAUUUAAUCCCAGUUAAAUUCGAAUUUUAGAUAAUAUAUUUUUUAAAAAUAGGAGUAUAUCCCAUGCAAUAUUGGGGACAUACUUAUAUUAAAAAAUUAUUCGUUGUCGAUCUUGACAUUCAAAUUUAACUGGAUGUCCUCUAUUUUUAUUUGCUAAAUCUAGCACCCGUCUUGUGGUCAUAGUCUUGUGGGUCAGGAAUUUGAGUAGGGAUUGGCAGGGGUAAAGCAUGCCUUUCCACGGGGCCUGCUCAUGCACGUGUCUGGUGCACGGGUGCGCCACGGUCUCACACGCCCUCUUCACGUGAAGUCUUGUUCUCUAGGGCUUUUCCACGCACUUAGGGAUUUGCACGCAAGGAGGCUCUGAGACCCGGCUCCAGAAGUAGGAAAUGGAAGCUGUCAGCCUCUUCAGUCUUGGAGCUCACAGCCGGGGCGACACCACUUCUGCCUACUCUUCUGGUAGAAUCACAAAACCCACCUGGCUUCACUGGGAGGGGACCUUGACCCAGCCUCGUGAUGGGAGCCGUCAUCUUUAAUCUGCCACCUCAAAGCUCAGAUGUCAUCUGUGUUUCUUACAUUGUUCCUUGAUGGCAGGUUUGGUGUUUUCCUGGGCUGGUGAGAUGUGGUACGGUCCUCUCUCGUGUUGCUGGGCGGUGGCAUCACGAGAGUAGACAACUGAAACACUCCCGACCAUUCCAUCAUCCUACAGCCGUUCUGUUUUUCACCUUGGGUACCGUGUUCACUACAGGACGCCAGGUAGUCAGCACUUCAUUAUAAAAUAGGCUUUGUGUUAGAUGGCUUUGUCCAACGGUAGGCUAAUGUUCUGAGCGCAUGGAAGGUAGGCGAGCCUAAGCUGUGAUAGGAAGGUGUACAGGCAUAUCUCUUUUCAUUGUGCUUUGCUUUAGUGCACUUGGCAGACACUGUGGUUUUUUACAAUUUGAGGGUUUGUGGCCACUGCAUGGGGCACGUCUGUCAGCACUAUUUUUCCAAUAGCGUCUGCUCACUUCUUGUCUGUGUAUCACAUUUUUGUAAUUCUUAUAAUAUUUCAUACUUUUUCAUUAUUUAUUUUACUUUUUUUUUUUUAAGAUUUUAUUUAUUUAUUCAACAGAGAGAGAGACAACCAGAGAGAGAGGGAACACA